rnacentral:misc_RNA from 1 species
AUAAAUGGCGAAAGCUUUAUAUUAUCCAUAACACCUGUGAACUAUUUGCCUUUGGGCACCAAUACAAACAUAAAGUAAUGAAUGUAAUCUAUUAUAACAAAUA